rnacentral:snRNA from 1 species
GGAUGUGAGUGUGAUCUGAAUGUGAAAUUCAUCUCCUGUUGAUUGCCAGUGUUGAUUCAGCUGAUGUGAUUGGCUAGCCAAUGUCAUUUUCUUCCCUCACCACUCAUGCAUGUUUCUCUUGCAGCUGAGAGCUCCGUUGAAUAGAAGGACCUGACAAUGAAGAAAGACCAUUCUUCAGUGAAGGAUAUCCAAGUAGCUGUGUAACCCCGCUAGAACCUCUAAACAAGCUCUAAAGACUGAGAUAAUAAAGUGCUUACUUUUCUUCCCAAUGGUGGUCACUUGAGCUUCGUUUUGGA